rnacentral:rRNA from 1 species
UACGAAGGGGGCUAGCGUUGUUCGGAUUUACUGGGCGUAAAGCGCACGUAGGCGGGUCGUUAAGUCAGGGGUGAAAUCCCGGAGCUCAACUCCGGAACUGCCUUUGAUACUGGCGACCUUGAGGCUGGAAGAGGUUAGUGGAAUUCCCAGUGUAGAGGUGAAAUUCGUAGAUAUUGGGAAGAACACCAGUGGCGAAGGCGGCUAACUGGUCCAGCACUGACGCUGAGGUGCGAAAGCGUGGGGAGCAAACAGG